rnacentral:rRNA from 1 species
AGUGAACGCUGGCGGCAUGCCUAACACAUGCAAGUCGAACGGCAGCACAGCAGUAGCAAUACUGUGGGUGGCGAGUGGCGGACGGGUGAGGAACACAUCGGAAUUUGCCCAGUCGUGGGGGAUAACGUAGGGAAACUUACGCUAAUACCGCAUACGACCUAACGGUGAAAGCGGGGGAUCGCAAGACCUCGCGCGGAUGGAUAAGCCGAUGUCGGAUUAGCUAGUUGGCGGGGUAAAGGCCCACCAAGGCGACGAUCCGUAGCUGGUCUGAGAGGAUGAUCAGCCACACUGGGACUGAGACACGGCCCAGACUCCUACGGGAGGCAGCAGUGGGGAAUAUUGGACAAUGGGGGCAACCCUGAUCCAGCAAUGCCGCGUGUGUGAAGAAGGCCUUCGGGUGUAAAGCACUUUUAUCGGGAACGAAACAUUGUCGGUGAAUAUCCGGCAAGACUGACGGUACCCGAAGGAAUAAGCACCGGCUAACUUCGUGCCAGGAGACCGG